rnacentral:rRNA from 1 species
UGGCCCUACGGGAGGCAGCAGUCGGGAAUAUUGCGCAAUGGAGGAAACUCUGACGCAGUGACGCCGCGUAUAGGAAGAAGGUUUUCGGAUUGUAAACUAUUGUCGUUAGGGAAGAUAAAAGACUGUACCUAAGGAGGAAGCCCCGGCUAACUAUGUGCCAGCAGCCGCGGUAAUACAUAGGGGGCAAGCGUUAUCCGGAAUUAUUGGGCGUAAAGGGAGCGUAGACGGCAGCGCAAGUCUGAAGUGAAAUCCCAUGGCUUAACCAUGGAACUGCUUUGGAAACUGUGCAGCUGGAGUGCAGGAGG